UUUGCUGCAUUCUCAAGGUUAGAUUCAUCCAAAUGAACAAGGCCAUUUAUCCAUUUUCAAUUAAACAAAUAUACUGAGAGUAAUGAACUUAUAAAUGAAGUAUCAAUUUAACUUAUAGCAUGCUCUAGAUAAUUGCUUGUUAAUCAUCAAAAUAACACUAUCAUCCUCACAUACAAUCUGGUCUACUAGCUGUAUGAUAAAAUAGUUAUUCUAUCAUGCUUCAAUACAGCUUUAAAACAAUAGAUCUACUUUGCUCAUCCUUUUCAAAUUCUACAAGAUGGGGUCACAGACAUACCUU
rnacentral:lncRNA from 1 species